GGCCCGUUAGCUCAGUGGUUAGAGCGUCGUGCUAAUAACGCGAAGGUCGCGGGUUCGAUCCCCUCACGGGCCA
rnacentral:tRNA from 1 species